GCAUGGGUUUGGAUUUAUGACAGGCCCGUCCCCCUGGGCCUGUCAUAGUACCCCAUGCCAGAGCAAACUGUCCCCGAACCAUUGCCUGGCCUCUGUGCCUGUAGGUGCUGGCACUGAAGUGGGUUGCACAGUG
rnacentral:snoRNA from 1 species